GACGAACGCUGGCGGCGUGCUUAAUACAUGCAAGUCGAACGGUGGAGCGCCUUCCUUUCUGGUCGGUGUGGAGGAGUGGCGAAGGGGGGAGUAACACGUUAGUAACCUUCCCCCUCUUGCUGGAUAACCGCAAGAAAGAGUGGCUAAUACGGGAUAUUCUGAGUCUGUCGCAUGAUGGGUCUGGGAAAGAUAUUGUUUCGGUGGGGGAUGGGCUCGCGGCCUAUCAGCUUGUUGGUGAGGUGAUGGCCUACCAAGGCGAUGACGGGUAGCCGGCCUGAGAGGGUGGGCGGUCACGCAGGGGCGGCGCCGCCCCGACGCCUACGGCGGGAGGCAGCAGGGGAGAUUCUUGCACGGUGGGAGGAAGGCUGAUGCAGCGCCGCGGGAGGGAGGAUGGACUCCGUCGCGUUGUGAACCGCUUUCGGCAGAGAACCAGUGCUGCCGCGUUUGUGCGUGGGUUGACGGUAGCUAGAUAAGAAGCGCCGGCUAACUACGUG
rnacentral:rRNA from 1 species